ACGCUGGCGGCGUGCUUAACACAUGCAAGUCGAACGGUGAAGAGGAGCUUGCUCCUUGGAUCAGUGGUGAACGGGUGAGUAACACGUGAGUAACCUGCCCCAAACUCUGGGAUAAGCACUGGAAACGGUGUCUAAUACCGGAUACGAGCUUCAGCCGCAUGGCUAGGAGUUGGAAAGAAUUUCGGUUUGGGAUGGACUCGCGGCCUAUCAGCUAGUUGGUGAGGUAAUGGCUCACCAAGGCGACGACGGGUAGCCGGCCUGAGAGGGUGACCGGCCACACUGGGACUGAGACACGGCCCAGACUCCUACGGGAGGCAGCAGUGGGGAAUAUUGCACAAUGGGCGCAAGCCUGAUGCAGCAACGCCGCGUGAGGGACGACGGCCUUCGGGUUGUAAACCUCUUUUAGUAGGGAAGAAGCGAAAGUGACGGUACCUGCAGAAAAAGCACCGGCUAACUACGUGCCAGCAGCCGCGGUAAUACGUAGGGUGCAAGCGUUGUCCGGAAUUAUUGGGCGUAAAGAGCUCGUAGGCGGUUUGUCGCGUCUGCUGUGAAAACCCGAGGCUCAACCUCGGGCCUGCAGUGGGUACGGGCAGACUAGAGUGCGGUAGGGGAGAUUGGAAUUCCUGGUGUAGCGGUGGAAUGCGCAGAUAUCAGGAGGAACACCAAUGGCGAAGGCAGAUCUCUGGGCCGUAACUGACGCUGAGGAGCGAAAGCAUGGGGAGCGAACAG
rnacentral:rRNA from 1 species